AGAGUUUGAUUAUGGCUCAGGAUGAACGCUAGCUACAGGCUUAACACAUGCAAGUCGAGGGGCAGCAUGGUCUUAGCUUGCUAAGGCCGAUGGCGACCGGCGCACGGGUGAGUAACGCGUAUCCAACCUGCCUUACACUCUUGGACAGCCUUCUGAAAGGGAGAUUAAUACAAGAUGUUAUCAUGAGUAAGCAUUUUCACAUGAUUAAAGGUUUACCGGUGUAAGAUGGGGAUGCGUUCCAUUAGAUAGUAGGCGGGGUAACGGCCCACCUAGUCUUCGAUGGAUAGGGGUUCUGAGAGGAAGGUCCCCCACAUUGGAACUGAGACACGGUCCAAACUCCUACGGGAGGCAGCAGUGAGGAAUAUUGGUCAAUGGACGAGAGUCUGAACCAGCCAAGUAGCGUGAAGGAUGAAGGUUCUAUGGAUUGUAAACUUCUUUUAUACGGGAAUAAACGAAUCCACGCGUGGAUUUUUGCAUGUACCGUAUGAAUAAGGAUCGGCUAACUCCGUGCCAGCAGCCGCGGUAAUACGGAGGAUCCGAGCGUUAUCCGGGA
rnacentral:rRNA from 1 species